rnacentral:rRNA from 1 species
GUGCCAGCAGCCGCGGUAAUACGUAGGUGGCAAGCGUUGUCCGGAAUUAUUGGGCGUAAAGCGCGCGCAGGCGGUUCUCUUAAGUCUGAUGUGAAAGCCCCCGGCUCAACCGGGGAGGGUCAUUGGAAACUGGGAGACUUGAGUGCAGGAGAGGGAAGUGGAAUUCCAUGUGUAGCGGUGAAAUGCGUAGAGAUAUGGAGGAACACCAGUGGCGAAGGCGGCUUCCUGGCCUGUAACUGACGCUGAGGCGCGAAAGCGUGGGGAGCAAACAGGAUUAGAUACCCUGGUAGUCCACGCCGUAAACGAUGAGUGCUAGGUGUUAGGGGGUUUCCGCCCCUUAGUGCUGCASSUAACGCAUUAAGCACUCCGCCUGGGGAGUACGGCGCAAGACUGAAACUCAAAGGAAUUGACGG